GAAGGACGUGCUUUCUCAGGACAGAGUUGUAGACACAAAAAGAUACACUGGCUGACACUUAAUAAAUAUUGGACACACUUAAUAAAUCUGGACAUUUAAUAAUUAUUGAAGAAAAUUAAUAAUUCGCAGAACUUUGGCAGCGAUACUGACUGACUAUAAGUUUGGACACUUAAUAAGUAUUGAAGAAAAUUGAUGAAAUUUGCAGAACUUUGGCAGCGAAAUAUCUACAAUUCAAAGGAAUUCCCACGGGAAAGUUCUACACGAGCAGGAUAUCAUUCGCGCUUUUAAUACUGGUAUUAGUAGUGAAAAUAACGAAGCAGCGGUCGAUUCAGCUUCGAGUGUGGUUUUCGCAGAGCAGCGCUUCAGUUGAAUGCGUGCUAAGUAUUGUGCGGUUUAGCUUGGCCGUUCUCGUGGUCGAGUUAAAUGGCGCAUUGAUCAAAAUUAAAUGCCGAACGAUAAAGGACAAAGAGGAGAAGAAGAAAAGGAGGAAAUCUGGAGCAUCAAGCGAAUAAUUGUGAGAUCCUGUGCAAAGAACUGAUUUAACGAGAGGACUGAACGGUAUCACUUUCGAAGACUGUCAAAAGAGAACAAGCAACACAUACCUAACGUAUG